UGCAAGUCGAGGGGCAGCAUGGUCUUAGCUUGCUAAGGCCGAUGGCGACCGGCGCACGGGUGAGUAACACGUAUCCAACCUGCCGUCUACUCUUGGACAGCCUUCUGAAAGGAAGAUUAAUACAAGAUGGCAUCAUGAGUCCGCAUGUUCACAUGAUUAAAGGUAUUCCGGUAGACGAUGGGGAUGCGUUCCAUUAGAUAGUAGGCGGGGUAACGGCCCACCUAGUCUUCGAUGGAUAGGGGUUCUGAGAGGAAGGUCCCCCACAUUGGAACUGAGACACGGUCCAAACUCCUACGGGAGGCAGCAGUGAGGAAUAUUGGUCAAUGGGCGCAGGCCUGAACCAGCCAAGUAGCGUGAAGGAUGACUGCCCUAUGGGUUGUAAACUUCUUUUAUAAAGGAAUAAAGUCGGGUAUGCAUACCCGUUUGCAUGUACUUUAUGAAUAAGGAUCGGCUAACUCCGUGCCAGCAGCCGCGGUAAUACGGAGGAUCCGAGCGUUAUCCGGAUUUAUUGGGUUUAAAGGGAGCGUAGAUGGAUGUUUAAGUCAGUUGUGAAAGUUUGCGGCUCAACCGUAAAAUUGCAGUUGAUACUGGAUAUCUUGAGUGCAGUUGAGGCAGGCGGAAUUCGUGGUGUAGCGGUGAAAUGCUUAGAUAUCACGAAGAACUCCGAUUGCGAAGGCAGCCUGCUAAGCUGCAACUGACAUUGAGGCUCGAAAGUGUGGGUAUCAAACAGGAUUAGAUACCCUGGUAGUCCACACGGUAAACGAUGAAUACUCGCUGUUUGCGAUAUACUGCAAGCGGCCAAGCGAAAGCGUUAAGUAUUCCACCUGGGGAGUACGCCGGCAACGGUGAAACUCAAAGGAAUUGACGGGGGCCCGCACAAGCGGAGGAACAUGUGGUUUAAUU
rnacentral:rRNA from 1 species